GCAUCGGUGGUUCAGUGGUAGAAUGCUCGCCUGCCACGCGGGCGGCCCUGGUUCGAAUCCCGAUUCCCGGCCGAUGCA